ensembl:lncRNA
UGGUUUGAUUCUUUCUUUUUAACUCCUUUCCCCCCCCAUCACCAAAUAGAAGCAUUGCCAUAGGACGGAGGUGGUGCUGUGUCCCAUCCCACUGCAGCUGAACUACCUGGCUCUUAUUUGACCCAAGCAGCCUUUAUGAUACAGAGAUCACCCAAGACAGAGCAGUGUGUGCAUCUUAGAUGAGAGAGCCUUGUAAAUAAGCAGCCCUGCUAUCCGUCCCAUUACUGCACUAAUUGGAAGGCCUGGGUUUCUGAUGGAGUAAGCAUUUUUUUUAAUAAUAAAAAGGUCGUAAUAUGGUAUCCGGUCUGCUUUAGGCACUGCUGUCUGCUCCGUUUUGUUUAUACUUAAAUAAUGGUGUAGAAAGCAAAUCCCAAAGUUCACAGAAGUAUUAUAUAUGGAAUCGUGUAUUGGCACUUGGAGAUAAUUAGUCGCAGAAAACAACAUCAGCCAGUUCGUGUGUUAAUUGAGCCUGAAAACUUAAACCUGUAAUUGGCAAGCCUAAUGGAGAGCCAUAAAAUCCACUGUAGUUACCCGAGUGCAGAAAUAAUUGUGCUGGGAAGUGUAACAUGAACUGCAUGUCGCAUUUCUGCCCUAAGAAACUGCAGUGGGGAGGGCUCUGCUCCCCGAGGCCCUGCGAGGGGCACUGCUUCCCAUCCACGCAGUCUUUUUAAGUGUAGCAGCUUGCAAUAUUUCCACUCCAGAGAGUGGAAUUCAGCAGGAUGAGCAGCCUGAUGUUUUGUUUGUCAUCGGAGUCUGUUGCAGCUUUUGGAAGCGCUCAGAUCCUCGAGGCCAGCAGGAAGGACCACGAUCCCCGGGGAGCAGCUGGCUCGUGCUUCUGGAGCAUCUCCUGGCCCUGCACUUGUCCUGCUGCCCGUGUCUGCCAGGCAGCCCUCACUGCGCAGUCACUAACAGAGGGAAAAGUCUUCGUGCCGAACAGUGCUGCUGCUUUGUUGUUUGGGAUACGGAUGUUACAGAGCUGCAUUUUGUAACACAGAGGUACCUGAAUCACACCCGGUGCUGCAGGAGGAGGCCUGGCCUCGCCAUGUUGGCACAGCAUCGCUCCGCGGUCACUGUGCUCUCCCAUCACACCCCCGACGGGCAGAAAUCCCUUUUUAUUUUCCCAUAUGCAAACCCCUCCUACUGUUCUCGUGGAGCUCGCAAGUGCUAAAGGUUACAAAAUCCAUCUUUUCUCUAAGAAAGCAACUUAAUUAAUGUGAAAGUUUCUCCCAGGAAGGGAACCCUCAGCAGAUAUGCGGUGCGUAUCACAGCUCCCCUCUUCCCUCCCAGCACCCCUCCCCAAACCACUUUAAUUUCUCUGCCAAUAUUGGACAAAUGUAACAGGCUGACUUUUUAAUUUUCUACUCCCAGGUCUCCCUUGUCCCCUCAUGCAUUUUUCAUCACAGCUCGUGGCUCCCUCCCUGCCUGCCCUAUGAACAAUAUUGAUCGACUGAUUAAGCCAUCAAGCCGUGGCAAACAACUUUAAUUUUCAAACCAAAGCCUUUUAGUUCUCUUCCCUCUCUUGUAUAUUUGUUACCUCCUUAUGAAGUUUGUAAUGUCUCCUUAGAAACAAGCACGUUGGUUGUUUCUUUUUAAAUUAGUGCCCAGGUUAAUUGGGAGCUGCACACCACCGAUAGCCAUCCAUGUGAAGGUGUAAGAAGGGAAAACAGGGAGUGCCGAGCACAGGUUUAGGAGAAAAGAAGGCAGAUGUGGCUCUGAGGGCUGUGUCAGUGGGCACGGUGGGGUGGGCUGGGGUUGGAUUUGGGGAUCUGAGAGGGCUUUUCCAUCCUUCAUGUUUGUGAUUCCCCAUAAUUCAGAGCCUGAUCCAAACUCUCAGGGAAAGACUUGCUUGCGGUGCUUUGCCUGUUCUCUUUGGUGUCUCCACCUUCCUCGAGCCUGUCUUAAGCUCUGGUGAUGAUGAAGGGAGAGGAGAUUGAUGUGCCCCGAGUCCCAGGGUGAGAGCGUGGCACCGCAGCCUCUCUGCACGCGGCUCCGUGAGGCUUGUCAGUGCUGCUCUGCGGGCUUGCAAAUUGCUUUUCAAGGCGCUGGGCUUUCAGGCAGCACAGAGUUUUGAGAGCACCGGUGGGGAAUCGAUGGAAACGGCGUUUGUGGAGGACCUUCAUCUUGAAGCUGCCAGUUCUGCUGCGUCUGGAUUUGUGAGCUGCAAAGAUGAGCAAAAAAAAGCCCCAUGGAGCUGCGCUGCCUGCUGAGGCCUCACCCUGCAGUGCCAGGACCCCACAUUCUGCCCCUGGGGCUCUGCAGGGAACCCAUCUCUCCUUGCCCCAAGCUAUGAGGUGGCCCCCACGUGCUCUCACUGGGACAGGAGCUGUGAGGUUCUGUAGCUGCUGAGCAUGAACUUUACACGUUCCCGUUGCCCUCUGCCUGUGUGGCCUUAUUACAGAGGCGUGCUGUAGAUUUACUUCAAAUACAUGCAACAGGGUGACAGAUCAGCCUCGAGCUGCCUUCAGUGCAGGUUUUAGCAGUGGGUUUAUCACCUUAAUCCUUUUCCUGGGCUUCCCCCCCCCCCCCUUCCCCAAGCUUAGUACAGGACCUGCUUCCUUGCUUGGGGUCGAGCCGAUCAGACAGCACAGGAGCCUCAAAUUCCCCCGGUUUAUCGCUAAUGCCCUACAGCAAGGGAGAGCUUCAGCUCUUCACUCUCACCUGGUGUCCUUCAGAGGAGAUUUUCUGCACACAAAUGGGAGAGCAGCUGUUCUGCUGGGUUCCCUGUGCCUGGCUGUGGUACAGGGUCAGAAGCAGCCUUGUAUGGAUGGGGGGUCAGCAGCAACCCUGAAACACGGCUGCCUUCGAGCAGUUGGAGUUGUUUUCCAUCUUGCUUUGAGGAGCUCAGAGUCUGGCUUUAAGAUCAGCUAAUAAGUUCCUAUCAGGAUGUGCACGUGUUGUGAGCUUGUUGGAGUUCUUGAGGUCAUCUUUUUUCUUCCCUUUUAAAAUCAAAUUAUCGGAACAAACGACGGCGCUGCUUUCCUUGUUAAUGGGGGGAGGCUCUGCAGGGAGGUCAGGGGGGAUUCCUUUGCAGCACACGGGGUCUUUUGUUGCACGGUUUGACUUUUCUGUGUGUCUGUAAAGCUCAUCACAGAUUAUUGGUUUUAUCUGAUGAAAGAAGAGGAAAAAGCUGCAGUGUGGCACAGGAGUGCAGGUGAUCGGGGUUAGCGCAUUGAUCAGGGUUAGCGCACUGAUCAGUUAGCACACCUCUGAGAAUCACUGAGCUGUUAAGGUUGGGAAGGAGUGCUCAGAUUCCCAACCCACCACCUGUGGACACAUCCCUCAGAGCCACAUCAGCGCCACGGAGGUGCUCUUCCUACCAAGCAGACCCUUUGGAGCCAACAGGCAUGGCAAAUGGCAACACAAUCAGAUCCUCGCAUUUAAAAUUGUUCUCCUGCAGAUAAACAUAAGGAAAGCAAACCUUGAGUGUUUAAUGGGACGUGCCUAAGAGGAGAGCUGUGAAGCUCUGCAGAUCCCCUUUGUUUGCGUUGUUUGGUUCCUGUCAUUACAGACACGUGUGAGAUGAGAAGCGCAAACUCCGGAGGUAGAGCAGUGCAGAAGCUGUGUUGGAAACCUCAGUGAGAAGAUGAGCAUUUCUUUUUAAUCUGGAGUGUUUAUUAAAGGUUUUCCUUAGGAUGAGGGGAGGGAAGGUGGUUCGGCACUGUACUAAGAACACAAUGAGUGCCUUUUCAUAGUGAGAUCCAAAUGAGAAGGAUGGGACCAGGAGGGUUUGCAGAGCCACGACUGUGCCCGGUGUGUCCCAUAACCACACACAGCGCUGGGAUUUAUGGGGCGUGGAAAAUUGGAUUUCUUUAAAAUGUAAAUUUUGAGA